rnacentral:rRNA from 1 species
CCUACGGGAGGCUGCAGUGGGGAAUAUUGGACAAUGGGGGGAACCCUGAUCCAGCCAUGCCGCGUGUGUGAAGAAGGCCCUCGGGUUGUAAAGCACUUUCAGUGAGGAAGAACGCCUGGUGGUUAAUACCCAUCAGGAAAGACAUCACUCACAGAAGAAGCACCGGCUAACUCCGUGCCAGCAGCCGCGGUAAUACGGAGGGUGCGAGCGUUAAUCGGAAUUACUGGGCGUAAAGCGCGCGUAGGUGGCUUGAUAAGCCGGUUGUGAAAGCCACGGGCUCAACCUGGGAACGGCAUCCGGAACUGUCAAGCUAGAGUGCAGGAGAGGAAGGUAGAAUUCCCGGUGUAGCGGUGAAAUGCGUAGAGAUCGGGAGGAAUACCAGUGGCGAAGGCGGCCUUCUGGACUGACACUGACACUGAGGUGCGAAAGCGUGGGUAGCAAACAGGAUUAGAUACCCUAGUAGUC